UCAUCUACUUUGGAGGAUAUGGUUACAAAUUAAUGGCUGAUCCUGAUGAGAGGAGCAGAAGCUUCAUUGUACAUAAAACAUUAUGGGUGGAACAAGUCGAGAUGGGAUGGAACAAUGAGGUUCAUAUAUUUGACCCCAAGCACAGCAGUUGGAGUGAACCACAGACACAUGGCCAUGCUCCUGCCCUCAGGGCCGGCCACGCCAGCAUGACAAUUGGCUGUAAGGGAUACAUUUGUGGAGGCAGAGUUAAGGACAAGUGACAUUUACUGCCUGGACCUGGAAGCAUGGACGUGGUCAGAAAUUGGGCAGAUCCUCUCAUACACUUACACCAAAGUCAGGGAACUCUUUGUUCCUGUUUGGAGGUCUCACUGAGGAUGACAAACCAACGAGUGAUGGAUGGUUGCUUGAUGUAAACACAAGAAAAUGGACAGAAAUUACACAUCCUUUCAAGAAUAAACCCAGGAUGUGGCAUACAGCAUGCCCAGGCAAAAACGCAGAUGUGAUUGUUUUUGGUGGGUCUUGUGACAGCAACCCCCUUGGCUACGCUGUAAGUAUCACAGAGCUGAAGCUAAUUUUACAGACCUGACAUGAACUAAACCCCAUAAGAAAGCUCAAAGCAUGUUAAAUUUAUAUGAACACAGGGGAGACUGAAUGUUGUCGAGAUCAGCAAAAGAUUUGCAAAACUAAUAAAAGAAUAAACUUUCAAAUCAACAUCUAUUUAUGGAUGUAUUCUGUUGAGUGUCCCUUUGCUUACACGAGAGCACUGAGUAACACACCAGAGUAAACCUGCAUGUUAUUGAAAAGUGUUUCACUUUCUUCAAAAAUAACUUGGUGGUGGUACAACUAACCCUGCAGUAUGUCCAUACCACAAUCAACUGACCAAAAAAGAACACAGGAUGCACAUCUUUAAGAGAAAGUAUUUUGUGCAGCACUUGUGUCUUGUGAAAAGUUGAACCUUUAUAAACUUUGUAUAUUUCUUUUCAGGCUCAGUGCAAUGAUGUUCUUGUUUUCCAGAUGCAGCCAUAUCCUCU